rnacentral:rRNA from 1 species
AGAGUUUGAUCCUGGCUCAGGACUAACGCUGGCGGCGUGCCUAACACAUGCAAGUCGAACGAGGUAGCAAUACCUAGUGGCAGACGGGUGAGUAACACGUGGUCAACCUGCCUCCGUGUGGGGGAUAACUAGCCGAAAGGUUAGCUAAUACCGCAUACGAUCGCCCUGGGGCAUCCCUAGGCGAUGAAAGGAGCAAUCCGCACGGAGAGGGGACUGCGUCCCAUUAGUUAGUUGGUAGGGUAACGGCCUACCAAGACUGCGAUGGGUAGCUGGCUUGAGAGAGUGACCAGCCGCACUGGAACUGAGACACGGUCCAGACUCCUACGGGAGGCAGCAGUGAGGAAUUUUCCGCAAUGGGCGCAAGCCUGACGGAGCGACGUCGCGUGUGGGAAGAAGGCCUUCGGGUCGUAAACCACUGU